ACCUCAAAUCAGGUAGGACUACCCGCUGAACUUAAGCAUAUCAAU
rnacentral:rRNA from 2 species